rnacentral:Y_RNA from 1 species
GGCUGGUCCGAGUGCAGUGGUGUUUACAACUAAUUGAUCACAACCAGUUACAAAAAUCUUUGUUCCUUCUCCACUCCCACUGCUUCACUUGACUAGCCUAAA